rnacentral:rRNA from 1 species
UGCCUCAGUAACGGCGAGUGAAGCGGCAAGAGCUCAGAUUUGAAAUCUGCUACCUUUGGUAGCCGAGUUGUAGCGUGUAGAGUGCUGUCCCGGAUGUACGGCGCUGCCUAGGUUCCCUGGAAGGGGACGCCGGAGAGGGUGAGAGCCCCGUGAGGCGGUGGUCAGUGGCAUCCGUGUGGGAGGGCGCUCGAGGAGUCGAGUUGUUUGGGAAUGCAGCUCCAAGUGGGUGGUAAACUCCAUCUAAAGCUAAAUACAGGCGAGAGACCGAUAGCGAACAAGUACAGUGAUGGAAAGAUGAAAAGCACUUUGAAAAGAGAGUGAAACAGCACGUGAAAUUGUUGAAAGGGAAGGGCAGCUGCUCAGACAUGGCAGGUUGCGUCCCCUGCUCCUUGUGGGCGGGGGGCCCACGCGGCGUGCUGGGCCAGCAUCAGUUUUGGCGGCAGGAGAAAACGUGCGGGAAUGUGGCCGCGCCCCUGUGGGCGUGGUGUUAUAGCCUGCGUGGGAAUACUUGCCAGCCGGGACUGAGGGAAGCGACACUUGUUGUCACGGAUGCUGGCAUAAUGGGUAGGUGCCGCCCGUCUUGAAACACGGACCAAGGAGUCUAACGUCUAUGCGAGUGUUUGGGUGUGAAACCCGUACGCGGAAUGAAAGUGAACGCAGGUUGGGGCCUUUACGGCGCACAAUCGACCGAUCCGGAAGUCACGCACGGAUGGAUUUGAGUAGGAGCAUAGCUGUUGGGACCCGAAAGAUGGUGAACUAUG